CUACAUUACAUUAUUAGGGCACUACAUUACAUUAUUAGGGCACUACAUUAUUAGGGCACUACAUUAUUAAGGCACUACAUUAUUAAGGCACUACAUUAUUAAGGCACUACAUUAUUAAGGCACUACAUUAUUAAGGCACUACAUUAUUAGGGCACUACAUUACACUAUUAGGGCACUACAUUAUUAGGGCACUACAUUACAUUAUUAAGGCACUACAUUAAGUCACUAAUAAUGUACUUUUGACACCAUACAGUAAAGGCCACGCCCAGUUGCCAUGGUAAAUCUCGUAUCUUGUUCUAUAUGCUAAAUAUUUCUCUCUUGUCCUCUUUCCCCCCUUCCUGUCUUUCAGCCGCUCUGGGGAACCUUUAUUGAAGAAGCAGUGGUUUGUGCGUUGUGAAGAGAUGGCCCAGAGAGCCAUACAGGACAUUUGACUUUCUCUUUGUGUUGUAGUAUUUGCAUGUUGGUCACUGGGUAUGCCUGCGUCUCAAAUGGCACUCUAUUCCCAGCAUAGUGCACUGCCUUUGACCAUAGCCCUAUGUAGGUCAGAGGGUCUUUCGAUCAUUUGAGCAUGUCAAUGAAAAGGAUGUAAUGCAUGGCACUGACUCUCUCUCUUUUCUGUCUCCCUCCUUCUCUCUCUCUCUCUCUCUCUCUCCCUUCUCUCUGUUUUCCUCCCUCUCCUCUCUCUUCUCUCUCUCAGGCAGUGAGAGAGAGGAGCGGGAGGGAGGGAGGGAAUUGAAUUGAGAAGCGAGAGUAAGUAGCUCUCCAACAUGUUUUAGAUCAGGAAAAGGAGUCACGCAGGUUCCUCAACAAGAGAGGGAGAGGACGCGGAAGAGGCCAACACGGAGGGGGAGGAAGAAAUCAAUACUAUUCAACCACACAGAGCAGGACCAGAACAAGGCUGUGAUCAACAUUUCUGGAGAACCCCUUUCUGAUGAUUGCGAAUCUACAUCUGAAGGCCUGGUACAAGCAAAACAUCUCUCUAACUACAGACACCAGUGUCUCAGGUCAGGCAGUUUCUGUACCCUCAAAAACACCUUUUAAGCCCAAGUCCACCUUUUGUCCCAUCGUCCGAAUGCCACAGUAAAUACAUUUGCCACGAAGGUGAAUUUUGAUGUGGAGAAUCUGUUUAAGGGUAAAAUUGACUCCAACCAAACACGACGUAACCUUUCUAAGACAGAGAGGGAUGCAGUUCAAUCAUUGUCCAAUAAUGAACAGAUUGUGGUUAAAAAAGUAAACAAAGGCUGUGCUACAGUAGUGUGGAUUAAAGACAAAUAUGUGACAGAAGCCUACCGCCAAUUAGACAAUGAUGAAUUCUACCAAUCUCUUACUUUCAACCCUACAGAGGACCUAAAAACAGAAUUGAAAGGGAUCCUCACAGAAACUAAGGAGAAUGGCUACAUUUCAGACAAUGAGUUCAAAUUUAUUUUUAAUGGCAGUCCAC
rnacentral:lncRNA from 1 species